GGGCGGGGUUAGGGUGCAGAAACAGGACGGAGAAGGGGGCUGUAUUUCCCCUGGCGUGUGAAAUGGAUGUUAGUGACUAAAGCUCAAUUUUCCAGUUAAGGGAGGAGCCGAGACUUUUAAGUCGAGUGUUCCUGUGGGGCCAAAAGGAUGGUUUCAGAGAAAUCCCAGGAAGUGAGAGUGCUGGGAUAUGCGAGGGGCCCACGGAGCCCUCCCCUGCGUGUCUGAGAUCACACCCUGCGGGUACCCUGCCGUCGUGUGCUGAAGGAGGUCUUGAUUUAAGUUCCUGAACUCUGCCCACCACCACCAGCAGCCAUGACUUCUUGGCAAGACUCCAAACCCCUCCCUACCUUCACUCUUUAGAGAGAAAGGCUAGACUUACAGGGUGACCAAUAAUGCUGGUUUAUCCAAGAAGGGGAUUCCCAAGACACAGGGCUGUCAGUGCUAAACCAGGGUGUUCCUGUCCAACUUGGCUUCCAUAAGAACUUCAAUCAAAUUCACAGACCACAUUCAAAUUUGUCAAUUGUCCUAAUAAUAGCUAUUAUAGGUUCAGGAUCAUACAUAAUGUGUAGUUGUCAUCUCUCUUUAGUUUUCUUCAACCUGGACCAGUUCCUGAGUCUUACCUUAUUUUUAUGAUCUUGACAUUUUUAAAAAGAGCAGGUUACUCACUUUGUAGAAAGUCCAUCAAUUUGGGUUUGUUUAGUAUUUCUUCAUAAUUACAUGUAAGUUAUACAAUUUUUGGCCGAAUUGUAUAAAAAGUGAUGCUAUGUUCUAAUGGCAUCCUAUCAGGACAUAUACAAUAUCCAUUUAUCCUAUGCUGUUUUAACUUUUAUAAGAUAAUGUCUGACUCCUCUAUUGUAAAAUUAACUAUUAAAUAUUUGGUAUUAA
rnacentral:lncRNA from 1 species